rnacentral:rRNA from 1 species
AGAUUGAACGCUGGCGGCAGGCCUAACACAUGCAAGUCGAGCGGCAGCACGGGUACUUGUACCUGGUGGCGAGCGGCGGACGGGUGAGUAAUGCCUAGGAAUCUGCCUGAUAGUGGGGGAUAACGCUCGGAAACGGACGCUAAUACCGCAUACGUCCUACGGGAGAAAGCGGGGACCUUCGGGCCUCGCGCCAUUAGAUGAGCCUAGGUCGGAUUAGCUAGUUGGUGAGGUAAUGGCUCACCAAGGCGACGAUCCGUAACUGGUCUGAGAGGAUGAUCAGUCACACUGACUGAGACACGGUCCAGACCU